GACGAACGCUGGCGGCGUGCUUAACACAUGCAAGUCGAACGGAAAGGCCCUGCCUUUGUGGGGUGCUCGAGUGGCGACCGGGUGAGUAACCCGUGAGUAACCUGCCCUUGACUUUGGGAUAACUUCAGGAAACUUGGGCUCAUACCGGAUAGGAGCUCCCGCUGCAUGGUGGGGGCUGGAAAGUUUCGGCGGUUGGGGAUGGACUCGCGGCUCAUCAGCUUGUUGGUGGGGUAGUGGCUUACCAAGGCUUUGACCGGUAGCCGGCCUGAUAGGGUGAGCGGCCACAUCGGGACUGAGAUACGGCCCAGACUCCUACGGGAGGCAGCAGAGGGGAAUAGUGCACAAUGGGCGGGAGCCUGAUGCAGUAACGCCGCGUGCGGGAUGACGGCAUUCGGGUUGGAAUCCGCUGUCGCCUGUGACGAAGCGUGAGUGACGGUAAUGGGUAAAGAAGCACCGGCUAACUACGUG
rnacentral:rRNA from 1 species